GCGUCUUACCAGAACGGGUCCGACGGUGAGGGACGAAAGCUGGGGGCACGAACCGGAUUAAAUACCCGGGUAGUCCCAGCUGUAAACGAUGCUCGUUAGGUGUCAGGAACGGUGCGACUGUUUCUGGUGCCGAAGGGAAGCCGUGAAACGAGCCACCUGGGAAGUACGGCCGCAAGGCUGAAACUUAAAGGAAUUGGCGGGGGAGCACUACAACGGGUGGAGCCUGCGGUUUAAUUGGACUCAACGCCGGAAAACUCACCGGGGGCGACAGCAAUAUGUAGGUCAGGUUAAAGGUCUUACCUGAAUCGCUGAGAGGAGGUGCAUGGCCGUCGUCAGUUCGUACUGUGAAGCAUCCUGUUAAGUCAGGCAACGAGCAAGACCCGUGCCCACUGUUACCAGCAUAUCCUUUAUGGAUGAUGGGGACUUUGUGGGGACCGCUGCUGCUAAAGCAGAGGAAGGUGCGGGCUACGGUAGGUCAGUAUGCCCCGAAUCUCCCGGGCUACACGCGGGCUACAAUGGUUGGGACAAUGGGUAUCUACUCCGAAAGGAGUUGGCAAUCUCUUAAACCCAAUCGUAGUUCGAAUUGAGGGCUGUAACUCGCCCUCAUGAAGCUGGAAUCCGUAGUAAUCGCGUUUCAACAUAGCGCA
rnacentral:rRNA from 1 species